GACGAACCGUCCUAACGUUGUUCGGAAUCACUGGGCUUAAAGGGCGCGUAGGCGGGCGAGCAAGUCUAGGGUGAAAUCUUUCGGCUUAACCGGAAAAUAGCCUUGGAUACUGCUGGUCUCGAGGGAGGUAGGGGUCGUUGGAACUUCCGGUGGAGCGGUGAAAUGCGUUGAUAUCGGAAGGAACGCCGGUGGCGAAAGCGGCGACCUGGUCCUUGACUGACGCUGAGGCGCGAAAGCGUGGGGAGCAAACAGG
rnacentral:rRNA from 1 species